rnacentral:rRNA from 1 species
UACGGGGGGGGCAAGCGUUGUUCGGAAUUACUGGGCGUAAAGGGCUCGUAGGCGGCCAACUAAGUCAGACGUGAAAUCCCUCGGCUUAACCGGGGAACUGCGUCUGAUACUGGAUGGCUUGAGAUUGGGAGAGGGAUGCGGAAUUCCAGGUGUAGCGGUGAAAUGCGUAGAUAUCUGGAGGAACACCGGUGGCGAAGGCGGCAUCCUGGACCAACACUGACGCUGAGGAGCGAAAGCCAGGGGAGCAAACGGG